rnacentral:rRNA from 1 species
CGUGUAGGCGGCCAGGUAGGUCCGUUGUGAAAACUCGAGGCUCAACCUCGAGACGUCGAUGGAAACCAUCUGGCUAGAGUCCGGAAGAGGAGAGUGGAAUUCCUGGUGUAGCGGUGAAAUGCGCAGAUAUCAGGAAGAACACCAUGGCGAAGGCAGCUCUCUGGGACGGUACUGACGCUGAGACGCGAAAGCGUGGGGAGCGAACA